rnacentral:tRNA from 1 species
GGGGUUGUGGCUCAGUGGUAGAGUGCUUGUCUAGCAUACAUGAGGCACUGGGUUUGAUCCUCAGCACCA